GUCUUGAGAAUCACCUCUUUCGAAGUAGGCAUUUUUUGCCUUUCACCCCUUUUAAUAUUUGCUCAUCUUUCAUUUUAUUUUAUUAUUAUCAAUUACUGUUCUUUAAUGCUGCUCUCCCUCCCCCUCUCCUAAUUUUGGAUAAAAAUAUGCAUUUAUUUGAGGUAUAUAACAAAAUGUAAUAUGGAACUUCCCUGAUUUCCUCGCUAUGCAUUUAUUUGAGGUAUAUAACAAAAUGUAAUAUGGAACUUCCCUGAUUUCCUCGCUAUGCAUUUAUUUGAGGUAUAUAACAAAAUGUAAUACAGAACUUCCCUGAUUUCCUCGCUAGAUCAAAGUACAGGCUUCUUACUGCAGAAAAAUGUGUCUUUUGCAUUUACUUCAUUUCUUUGACAUGAUGUGGAAUAAUUGUGAGCCAAACUUCAUGCAAUGAUAAACACCUGUCCAAGAUUUUGUCUCCUUUUGUAAUGAAUAAGAUAUCUUGCUUCGCUCACCAUAAUGUUUUUUAAUUGCAGAAAGAUGAGCACUUUUUUUUAUUUUAUCUGUAUGCCAAAUACAUGAUGUGGCUUUUUACCUUUUUGUGCAGUGCUGCAGUGCUAAUAUUACUACAAGUGUUAUUUACAGUACCCUCACAAUUUUUUUUUUUUAAUUUAUGUUGUCUAAAAAAAUUUUAGUUUCCUUCUAUUGCAAACUCUCAUGUGCUUAAAUUUGUUUCACGACUAGGAUAUAAAUCAUACUAAACCACUAUAAACCAAA
rnacentral:misc_RNA from 1 species